CAACGCAAUAAUGCGUUUUAUGCAGGCGUAAGACCCCUGCGUAGCGGCUAGAACCCGCAUCGGACUUCUUUAAGGAGAAAACAAAAUG
rnacentral:ncRNA from 1 species